GAACCGCAACCAGUGGUCUUGUACUCGAUUCUAUUUUAGUCCACCCAAACCACUCAUCAUCAACACCCUUCUCCACCUCACAGAUGGUCCCUCACACUCCUCAACUACUUAAGCCAACAGUGUAUCAAGAAGACUAAGCUGCACAUCUAGAGCAUCCAUGGUAGAGCUCGAUCUGAUUGCAACAGAGGUCAGAGGAGGCUUUCCAGUCCCAUGAAGCCUACAAACUCGGUAAUUGUAAUUGGGUAUUUAUAUUCAAUACCCCUUUAUUGAAUUCAUCAUAACCUAGUUUAGUUUGGGGUUUUGAUGUAUCUUCUUUCUUUCUUCAUUUGAUUUAAUAAUCUGAUGCUAUUGAGAGUACAAGACUUGGUAAUUGGUAUGAAAGCUAUAAGAUGAACAAUCGAGGUCUCACCCUCACCCGAGAAGGCGAGAAUAUUGUCAAUAAAUCUAAAGACUCAUUUACUCCACCGAUCAUGCCCAAUCGGUUUCUGGAUGUUCACAGUUGCUAGGUGCCCGCCGGUGUUGAUGGUUAGCCAGUCGAGUUGGCUGGCAGAGAGCGGUGAGCAGUUAUGGUGUGCCCAGACGAGGUAAGAAGACCUGGGUUUGCUGGUUUCAGCGAAGAAGAUGACUGAUAUACUAAGAUGACAGAUUUGCCCUCACAAUUUUGACAGAAAUCACACAAAUUAACGGAGUAAUUGCCG
rnacentral:lncRNA from 1 species